rnacentral:rRNA from 1 species
ACGGCGAGUGAAGCGGCAACAGCUCAAAUUUGAAAUCUGGCCUCGGCCCGAGUUGUAAUUUGCAGAGGAUGCUUUUGGUGCGGUGCCUUCCGAGUUCCCUGGAACGGGACGCCACAGAGGGUGAGAGCCCCGUAUGGUCGGACACCAAUCCUGUGUAAAGCUCCUUCGACGAGUCGAGUAGUUUGGGAAUGCUGCUCUAAAUGGGAGGUAAAUCUCUUCUAAAGCUAAAUACCGGCCAGAGACCGAUAGCGCACAAGUAGAGUGAUCGAAAGAUGAAAAGCACCUUGAAAAGGGGGUUAAACAGUACGUGAAAUUGUUGAAAGGGAAGCACUUGUGACCAGACUUGGGCCGGGCGGCUCAUCAGGGGUUCUCCCCUGUGCAUUCCGCCCGGUACAGGCCAGCAUCGGUUCUUACCGGGGGAUAAGAACGGCAGGAACGUGGCUCCCUCUCGGGGGAGUGUUAUAGCCUGCCGUACGAUACCCUGGCGGGGACCGAGGUUCGCGCUUCCGCAAGGAUGCUGGCGUAAUGGUUACUAGUGACCCGUCUUGAAACACGGACCAAGGAGUCGUCCAUUAGAGCGAGCGUUUGGGUGUAAAACCCGCACGCGUAAUGAAAGUGAAAUUAGGUGAGAGCUUCGGCGCAUCAUCGACCGAUCCUGAUGUUCUCGGAUGGAUUUGAGUAAGAGUUUUAACGGACGGACCCGAAAGACAGUGAACUAUGCUUGUAUAGGGUGAAGCCAGAGGAAACUCUGGUGGAG